CUCCUGGCCCGGCCUCGCUCCCUAAAUUGGGGUUUGGGGGGCGUCGAAAAAGGUGGGAGGGGGAGGGCCUAGGCAAGGAAGGCAGGAGGAGGGAGGAGGGUGGUUGAGAAGGAGGGAGGGAGGGAGGGAGGAGGAGGGCCUCCUCCUCGCGGUGGGAGCGGAGGGAGGGGCGGAGCAGCAGCGGCCGCGCGCAGCGGGCGCGGGCAGGUGGCUCCAGUGUCUGGAUUGACUUCAGCUCCGUGACAAGGUAUUAGCCGCGCCCACCACGAGACGAGUAUUCCUUAGUAAGUAAGAAGAAAAUACGACGGCCCGGGUCCUGUUUACCGGGUCGACAACGUGGGAGUCCUGAGACCCAAAAUACCUUCCUUCCUUUACCCCCCGGCUACCUCGAAAGAACUCAACAAACCGGAAGCGGCCGCGGAUGCCAGGUGCUUCUUCUACUAGAGACUGUUCUUUGUACCUUCAUCCGAAGCUCCAACGAUACAAGGUAAGUUUCUGCUUCUGUCACCACAGUGCCUACUCGUCUCUCGACAGUAUCUACUCAUGUUUUUGUGAUUUCAAUUUUUAUUUGUGUUCCCAAGUUUUUUCUCAAGACCAUUCAGCCCAGACUUCAGUAAUAAAAGUUCUUUUAACAUGCCUUUCCUUCUAGUCUUUCUCUUCUACGAAGGACAACCUGGUUUCGACGACGCGUGGGAAAGCUAUGUAAUGAACCUUUUGUUACUGAUACAAGACUUACCAGUCAGUCGACGGUUACCACUGUCAAGAAGUGUGCUGCGAUUUGACAGUGAUGGUUUACUGUGGUCAUGUUUGAACGUUGUCCUAUGCAAUUCGUUGGACCUACCAAGACCAUGACUGGUACACUUUGCCUUCUCGGUGGCAUCGUAGAGGUACCUACCCUAAGAAGUGUUCCAUGGGAUACCCGUCUCCGAAAGACCUCUAUUGUAAUCUGUUCUUGAAGGAGCUAGUCGGAGACGGUGUAUACUGUCCCUACCAGACUUUGGAACGUAACCAUGACGACGUUUCUCUGUACCCUUGUCGCCAAAAGCCGCAAGCGCAAGGGAUAGACUUAGUGACCUCUCGAUGAGAGUGAACGAACUAAGGUAAAGUUCGUCACUUAGGUUUUCCGACGACUGUUCGAGCUUCAGGUGAUCCCUAGUGAGAAACCUACCGGAACCACGUCGUUGACGUGACGUCUCUUGAAGGUAAAGAGUCGAGUCUAGUUUUUCACACCAAUCUGAACGACUUAAAGAACACUAAGGUCUUCUGUGUAACCGUGGUCUUCAAGGUCUCCUUUAUCAACCUCUACACUUUGAACGACACCUACUCCCAAGAACAUUACUCCAACGACCACCGAGACUCCUAGGACACAGUGAACUUCUCAACAACUCGCUCACGCUGCAGCACCUUAGUAGCUGACUUCUGUUAAAUACAUAACGAGGAAAUCGAAGUCUCCACCAACUACAAAGUCUUCUUGUUCGAGGAAAUCGAAGAAGUCUCUACCAACUACAAAGUCUUCUUCGACGUUGAAUACUACUACUAGACCUCCAAGAGAGUAGCUGGGUUCGGUUCGACACAUGGCUGGGAAGUCGUAGACUUCAACUGUAGGGUCUUCUUGUACGUUGUUGGACAUUACUACUACUAGAAUAAGUGAGCAGUUGACCUCGACUAGGAACGUGAGAAGAAUCAGAAGACGAUAGUCGUCUGCAGCUGUAACGUCUUGUCGUUCACGGUGGAAGACUACUAGUUUAAGCCAGUACGUAGUGGGUUGGAAGUCUUCUGUAGCUGUAACGUCUUCUUGACCGUUGUUAGAGACUUCUGUUAGUCUAGGUAAGUAAGCUAAGAAACUUUAGUCAGUUUCCAUGAUCGACACAGGGACUGGGGUUAUCUCUAUGACUUCUACUCAAUUUAAAUACGACACUUGUUCUUUGACUUUCAGGUUGGAGACAAGACCUACACCGGAAGAGUCUGGUAGGACGACGAUCAAGUCUCUUGGUUUGUUACGACUUACUAAGCAGCGACCACCUUUUUUGACAGGUAAGUUUACUUCGUGUACUGGUAAGUCAACCGUGACUACUACUAGAACUAAGAUCGUGAAGACAGUUUGGUGGUUGAUCGAGUAGCUGACUCCUCUUGUAUGAAGAAGUCCUCUUGUUGGAGUGGCUGGAGUUGCGAGAGGUUCUUCGUCGUCUACUAGGUUUCUUGCUCCGGCUCGACCGCAUGCAGUUGCUGUAUAAGUUGUUCAGCUCGAAGGCGCUGCUCCGCGACAAGCUUCGAACCGCGAGCGUCUUGGCGCGGCGCGAGGUCCUCCUGCUGACGGUCGUGAUGCUGCGGCGCCGCCGCCGGUAGCUGAAGUGGCUGUACAGCCGGCUGCUCGACGAGGAGAAGCUGGACUGUUUGCUCCGCGACGAGCUCCAGAUGUUCCUGAUGCGGCGGCCGCUCAGGUCCGUCGGGGCGAAGAGGAGGAAGGUCGCCGGGUUCGGGCAGCCGCUGGCGCGGGAGUCCCUCGACGCCAGGUCCCACCCGGCGGUCGAUCUGCUCGCCGGCGUCAGGCCGCACCUCCAGCUGCAGCUGCGGCACGACAGCUCGCUGGACCCGUUCCGCCUCGCGACCUCGUUGAAGGCCGCUCUCCGGCUGGUCCACCGCUCGGACCACCGGUUGAGGCACGAGCUGUCCGAGCAGUGGCUCGAGCGCGAGGUCGAGCGUUUCAAAACUCAGAACUACUAUCUAUCAAUCGGUAAGUAAAUAAGACGGACGGGGUAAAAAAUAACCAAUCAAUUAAUUAAAUCGACGAACUACUACUACUAUAUAUGUGGUACCUUCACACUCCCCUACAAUGUAAUGUAAUGUAAUGUUAUAGUACAUCUAUAGUCUUUGGUAAAAACCAAGAAAGGAGGACCCUCUCCUCUCCUCUUAUGUAUCCUUGUACUCAGUCCUCUUACAACAAUCCAGUAGAAUCACACUACUCAGUAGAUCUGAUCAACGACUCUUAACUCACCUGUACCCUCCGUGAACAAAACAUGAUCACAGACAAAACUUACAUAGAACGAAGUCCAUUCUUUUUAGAACCUUGUUGUUAAACAGCC
rnacentral:rRNA from 1 species